UGCGUCCUAUGGGACGCGGCAGUGAGGAAUAUUGGUCAAUGGUCGGGAGACUGAACCAGCCAAGCCGCGUGAGGGAUGAAGGUACAGAGUAUCGUAAACCUCUUUUGUCGGGGAACAAAGGCGGGGACGCGUCCCCGGAUGAGUGUACCUGAAGAAAAAGCAUCGGCUAACUCCGUGCCAGCAGCCGCGGUAAUACGGAGGAUGCGAGCGUUAUCCGGAUUUAUUGGGUUUAAAGGGUGCGCAGGCGGUCUGUUAAGUCAGCGGUCAAAGCCCGGGGCUCAACCCCGGCCCGCCGUUGAAACUGG
rnacentral:rRNA from 1 species